GACGAACGCUGGCGGCGUGCCUAACACAUGCAAGUCAACUUGAGGGAAGGAGCAAUCUGACCUGAUGGUGGCGCAAGGGUGCGUAACGCGUAAGUAACUUGCCCAAGGUAAGGAAUAACGUCGAGAAAUCGGCGCUAAUACCUCAUAAAUGCAGCGGAUCCGCAUGGAUAUGUUGUUAAAGGUUUACCGCCUUGGGAUAGGCUUGCGUCUGAUUAGCUAGUUGGUGUGGUAAUGGCACACCAAGGCUACGAUCAGUAACUGGUCUGAGAGGAUGAUCAGUCACACUGGAACUGAGACACGGUCCAGACUCCUACGGGAGGCAGCAGUGAGGAAAUAUUGGGCGAAUAGCACGAAAG
rnacentral:rRNA from 1 species